UAUUGAUUUUAUUAAAUUGGUUUAGAUGUGUUGGUUAAACUUAAAUUAGUAUUGGUUUAGAGAUUUUGGUUGGUUUAAUUCAAUUUUACAAAACCUGAUGGGUUAAUUGGGUAAACCAUUGAAACAAUUAACCAUUACAACCCAAAUCAUUUUACUCAUCAAACCAAUUGACCCUAUAACUCAUUUGACCCAUCAACUCAUUUGAGUCAAAAUUUUCAACUCAUUAGGGUUCAUGGAUUGAGUUGAGUUGAGUUGACCCAUGAAUUUUGACCAAUUUUCACACCCCUAUGUAUCUAUAUAUACAUUUUUGCAGCACCUUUUUAAAGAUAAUGUUUGAGAUUUGAGCCAUAAUUCAACAAUUAAUUCAAAUGGGUGAGUAUAACCUGGAUAACAUGUUUAAUUCUGUUCGGAUCUUGGAUAACAUUAAUUUUCGGAAAAGUUACCUAAAAAUAAAUAAU
rnacentral:sRNA from 1 species